CCCAGGACAGAAUGUCUCCAAGCGCUGUGUGGGAGAGCUCUGCUGAUCCUCAUCCCGCUGAUCAUCAUUCAUUCUCAUUCAUACACAGAUUAUUCCUACAGGGAAAGGAAAGACUACAUCUUUCAACGGCACAAGGUUGCAUCGUAGCAAAUGAUCUACAAAACUCUUGCCGGAGGCUGAUUCGGUUACAGCAGUGUGAGUGCACGGCUACAGUACUGGCAGGUGUAUGAGCGAUUAUAUGCGUUUGGCACUGAUCCCUCGCAGCAGUGAAGUUCAACGCAGUCAUGGCUGUUCCGAGAGAAAAGGGGGCUGUAAUUAUCCGGAGCCAGUCAUCUCAGGAGGUCGGCUGAGGUUUGGGGAAUGUGACCCCCUCCUCCACACCUCUCUUCACCCUUCAGUCCUCCAUCGUCAGCUGGAAAAUCACAAUGCCACACCAGAAUGGGCAGGACAGGCUGCGCAGGAUCCAUGUCGGUGAUGUGUGUAUGCAGAAGUGUAAAA